rnacentral:rRNA from 1 species
AUUUUUACAAUGAAGAGUUUGAUCCUGGCUCAGGAUGAACGCUAGCGGCAGGCUUAACACAUGCAAGUCGAGGGGCAGCGCGAGUAGCAAUACU